rnacentral:rRNA from 1 species
ACGGCUCAGUAACACGUGGACAACCUGCCCAAAGGUCCGGGAUAACCCCGGGAAACUGGGGAUAAUACCGGAUAAAUCACAAGUACUGGAAGGUUUUGUGGUUGAAACUUCCGGGGCCUUUGGAUGGGUCUGCGGCUGAUUAGGUUGUUGCCGGUGUAACGUACCGUCAAGCCUGUAAUCAGUACGGGUUGUGGGAGCAAGAGCCCGGAGAUGGAUUCUGAGACACGAAUCCAGGCCCUACGGGGCGCAGCAGGCGCGAAAACUCUACAAUGCAGGCAACUGCGAUAGGGGAACAUCGAGUGAUACUCAUCUUGGGUGUCUGUCCUCCCGUCUAAAAAACGGGAGUUAGCAAGGGCCGGGCAAGACCGGUGCCAGCCGCCGCGGUAAUACCGGCGGCUCGAGUGGUGGCCGAUAUUAUUGAGUCUAAAGGGUCCGUAGCCGGCUUUGCAAGUCUUUUGGGAAAUCCAGCGGCUUAACCGUUGGUCGUCCGGGAGAUACUACAUUGCUUGGGACUGGGAGAGGUAGGAGGUACUCAGGGGGUAGGAGUGAAAUCCUGUAAUCCUUUGGGGACCACCGGUGGCGAAGGCGUCCUACCAGAACAGGUCCGACGGUGAGGGACGAAAGCUAGGGGCACGAACCGGAUUAGAUACCCGGGUAGUCCUAGCCGUAAACGAUGCUCGCUAGGUGUCACAACAAUCGUGAAUUGUUGUGGUGCCGUAGGGAAGCCGUGAAGCGAGCCACUUGGGAAGUACGACCGCAAGGUUGAAACUUAAAGGAAUUGGCGGGGGAGCAC